rnacentral:rRNA from 1 species
GAUUAACGCGAAGAACCUUACCUGGGCUAGAAUGCCUCCGACAACCCUAGAGAUAGGGCUUCUUAGGGAAACCUAGGCGGAGUGCAAGGUGCUGCAUGGCUGUCGUCAGCUCGUGUCGUGAGAUGUUGGGUUAAGUCCCGCAACGAGCGCAACCCUUAUCGAUAGUUGCUAGCGGUUCGGCCGAGCACUCUAUUGAGACUGCCGUUGACAAAACGGAGGAAGGUGGGGAUGACGUCAAGUCCUCAUGGCCUUUAUGCCUGGGGCUACACACGUGCUACAAUGGCCGGUACAAAGGGCUGCAAACCCGUAAGGGGGAGCGAAUCUCAAAAAACCGGCCUCAGUUCAGAUCGAGGUCUGCAACUCGACCUCGUGAAGGCGGAAUCGCUAGUAAUCCCGGAUCAGCACGCCGGGGUGAAUACGUUCCCGGGCCUUGUACACACCGAAUC